AUUCUCUGUUUGGGGAUCGCAACUCGAGGAGGAUGUCAUCAAAAAAAAGUUAUCUUUGCUGUUGGUUCGACAACCGAGAUGCGGAGUUUCAGCAAAUGGAGCUUUUUCCCACAGACGUGUGAAGGAUUGGGAUCUCCAAAAGCAGCUCAGACGGAGUUUCAGCGCAUAGACUUCCGUUUGACCAGUACUUGAUGUGUUUUUCUGACCUCUGGAAGACCAGAUUGGGCCAGCAUUUCAUUCAUUUUACUGCAUUGUACCCAUAUAGAAAUAAAUGUUCUGUAAUGCUAAUCCA